rnacentral:rRNA from 1 species
GGCUCAGGAUGAACGCUGGCGGCGUGCCUAAUACAUGCAAGUCGAACGGUCUAGCGCAAGCUAGAUAGUGGCGAACGGGUGAGUAACGCGUUGGUGACCUGCCCCGAAGUGUGGGAUAACAGUUCGAAAGGAUUGCUAAUACCGCAUAAUAUCUCCGGGCUUAGAGGCCUGGAGAGGAAAGGAGAAAUUCGCUUUGGGAGGGACCUGCGUCCCAUCAGCUAGUUGGUAAGGUAACGGCUUACCAAGGCUACGACGGGUAGGGGACCUGAGAGGGUGGCCCCCCACAAUGGAACUGAAACACGGUCCAUACACCUACGGGUGGCAGCAGUAGGGAAUAUUGGUAAUCUGCGAAAGCGGGAACCAGCAACGCCGCGUGUGCGAUGAAGGCCUUCGGGUCGUAAAACACUUUUCGAUGGGAUGAGGAAGGACAGUACCAUCGGAAUAAGUCUCGGCUAACUACGUGCCAGCAGCCGCGGUAAAACGUAGGAGGCGAGCGUUAUCCGGAUUUACUGGGUGUAAAGCGCGUGCAGGCGGUUCUGAAAGUUGGAUGUGAAAGCUCCCGGCUCAACUGGGAGAGGUCGUUCAAAACUACAGGACUAGAGGAUGGUAGAGGGAGGUGGAAUUCCGGGUGUAGUGGUGAAAUGCGUAGAUAUCCGGAGGAACACCAGUGGCGAAAGCGGCCUCCUGGACCAUAACUUACGCUCAGAUGCGAAAGCUAGGGGAGUAAACGGGAUUAGAGACCCCCGUCAUCCUAGCUGUAAAUGAUGUAGACUUGGCGUUGGC